UGUAUCCUUCAGAAAUGAACAGAACAAAGUCGUUAGAUAAUUAACACUGUAUAUUUAUGGCGAAUAUGUUGCUAUAUUUGACAUAUAUAAGAAUAACAGACCUGUUUAUAUUUAUGUUUAUAUAUAUAUAUAUAUAAGUAAAUGUCUAAAGAGAAUUUGAUACUCGAUGAUGCAGAACCAAAAAUGGUUUAGUUCCAGAUACAUGUAAAUUACAGGAGUCUGUGUUACAUGUGAUGUGCCAGAUUCUUCUCCAUCUCCAUUGUAUAUCGAUAAAUACAAAAGCUGUGAGCCACAUCAGAAAAUAAGAUUCCUGAAAUACCAAUAAAGGUGGUGCCACUCGGUUUUAUUUCUACAAUAAACUAUCUUUUUCUU